AUGUGGAUCGUGUUAAUAAUAUGUUUUGUGAUAACAUAUAUUGUUGAAUUUGCUUAUGAUCCUACAUGUGAUUAUUAUGAGAGAGGAAAAUAUGUUUGUAGAAAUUUUCGUGUCACUAAAUUACCUCUCGUUAUGUUGAGAUUGCUAUUGUUUCUUUCUCCUUCCUUGCACUUGCUAGAUCUAGCUUGUCUUGCUAAUUUGUUUUCUUAUAAAAUGCCUAUGCAUAGGAAGUAUGUUAUACUUAGAUGUGAUUCUCAUAUACUACAUGAUGCUCUCUUCGUGUUUCAAUUGAUAUCUUUCAUGUGA
rnacentral:rRNA from 1 species